UGGUUUUUAUAUAGAGUUUUUAUGAAGAAUUUUAAAAUCCCAGAUGGUUCAUAGCUUACCCUAAUGCCUAGAAAAGAUUUGAGUCUUGAUUUACCUCGUAUGAUACAUCACAUCUGCAACACGAACUGAGGAACCAUUUUCCAGU